GAGGAGCUGUGUUGGAAUAAAGUCACGAGCGAGCCGGUGGGCCGCUGGCAACGCUAAGAGGGACUAGGCAGGUACCGGCAUCUAGCUAUCGGUCUGUUACUCGAGUGCUGGUAGAUCUCACUGGUAAUGUUGUGUUUCCACUCCAAGCUUUCCAUUUUGAUGGAGUUUGUAAAAAGAAAAGACGAUAAAAUUUUACAAACUUAGGAGUCUGUAAAAAGAAAAGACGAUAAAAUUUUUCAUAUUAAACGUUUCAGGCAUCUUCAGAAAUACCUGAGAACUGUGUUUUAUUGGGCUACAGUAAAACGCUGAUCGCCACAAGAAGUACACUUUGUGCUUACAUAGUGAGAAGCACCUGGGUUUGGUUUCAAGGAUACAUUGCCUCCCUCCCUUGCAAAGUUCUCCGGAGUUAGUCAGAUGGCUGCCGACAACCUGCACCGUGCAAAUGCUCUCAUGGUUCUGCCUGCACAGGAUGGUUGUGAGGUGUUCCUGUCCCAAGGACAUCUGAAAACUGCCACAUGCCAAGUCUGCAGCUAAAAUGUUUCAUCCCCUCUUAUAUCUCAGUCAUGACUGAUGGUAAAAAUUCAACAAACUAGAGCCAUGGAACAGGACCAGGGAAGGAUUUAAGGAGGGCAACUUUAUUGAAUCAAGUCAGAGGAUGUUGUGGGUUUGGAGAUGCUUGACCCACAAAGAGAUGUUGACCACAGAUUUGAAGCUCUUCAAAACUUCAAAGCUCUACAAAGAGUGUGACUGUUUAAAGAUUUCAAGGUGUGUGAAUUUAAAGGACAACAGCCCAUUUCAAACAACUCCAUGUAUGGACAUUCACAUAUAAAAGUAAGUGAGGGGGUUUAUUCUGGAUUAGAUUGUUUCACUUGCAAAAUGUAUCUUAUUCAUAAGAGUUCC
rnacentral:lncRNA from 1 species